CACCCACCUCCUGCUAAUGGUCCAUUUUACAGAGAGCUGAUUGGUCCAUUUUACAGAGAGCUGAUAGGUCCAUUUUACAGAAAGCUGAUUAGUCCGUUUUGACAGGGUGCUGACUGGCCCCUGCCCUGUGGGGAGGCCCACACUGAAAAAAGAGAAAAUAUCAAGGUCUAAAAAGAAUUAAUAGCUCCCCCAGCGAUUUUUUUAAUGUAGCUAAAGUUGAGAACCCCUGGAUUGGGUAG
rnacentral:lncRNA from 1 species